rnacentral:rRNA from 1 species
UGGGGAAUUUUGGGACAAUGGGGGCACCCUCGAUCCCAGCAAUGCCGCGUGAGUGAAGAAGGCCUUCGGGUUGUAAAGCUCUUUUGUCAGGGAAGAAACGGUAGUAGCGAAUAACUAUUACUAAUGACGGUACCUGAAGAAUAAGCACCGGCUAACUACGUGCCAGCAGCCGCGGUAAUACGUAGGGUGCAAGCGUUAAUCGGAAUUACUGGGCGUAAAGCGUGCGCAGGCGGUUGUGUAAGUCAGAUGUGAAAUCCCCGGGCUCAACCUGGGAAUUGCAUUUGAGACUGCACGGCUAGAGUGUGUCAGAGGGGGUGAGAAUUCCACGUGUAGCAGUGAAAUGCGUUAGAUAUGUGGAGGAAUACCGAUGGCGAAGGCAGCCCCUGGAUAACACUGACGCUCAUGCACGAAAGCGUGGGAGCAAACA